ACAAUACAAUGCUUUCGCCAAGAUUUCUGUUGUUCCUUUUUUCAUUCUGAAACUCAUGAGCAGCCCUUUUCUACGAAGAAAAAUGCAUGCUACGUUACUCAAGUAACUUAGAAAGCAUGCAGCAAGAAGCUCAAACGUUUCGAAUUUGAAUCAAACGAUACAUGGACUUGCUCAGAGCACGCCAGAUUUGCCCAGUAACCAUUGUUUUCAAGGUACGAAGAUGCGUGUAUGAAGAAUAAAAGAUGUGAAUUGGUCAUCUGGGCUACAUUUGAUUUCAAUUUGGAGAAACUCUGUCAUGUAUUCUAAUUCUACCUUGAGAUUUUGGUUGUGUUAAUCCUGGAACUUCAAUUUGAAAGUUCAGCUCCAGAAUUUGAUAUCGGACUGUCAUUCUCACUGUUGUGGGCCUUGUGGCAAUUGCUGUUGCUUUGAUAUCCGUAUGCAUUUAUUUGGUGUGAGAGUUAAAUAUAACAUUGUACAUUCAUGACAUUACAGCAAUCGUUGCCGUAGUGGGAUUGAUCUGCAAUUCCUUGUUUUCUUUUCUGAAAAUAUUCAUCAAGUUUUUUUUGAAUGUGAAACGGGACUGAGUCUUUUGACUGAGCAUUAUUUUAAAGAAAUUAAAAGGGGAGUGGUUGAAGAAAGCCCAAGGGUUUGAAAGGUCUUCGCCGCCGCGGUUGACAUCUUCGGAGGGAUGUAAAUUUUUCUAUGUGAGCGGUUGUGAUGGGCGUUGAAUUUUUCUUCAUCUGGGGAUCUAGAAAGAUUAUUAUUUUUAUUUUUUAUUUUGAUCCAUGGCUAAAAGUACUAAAACCCUAUAAAGAAGACUGUAGAUACCGCUUCCAGAGCCCUUGGGCAUCUGCCUGUCUGAUUAAUGGCGUGUUUGUUUGCUCGAAUGACUGAUCUCGUAAACAAUACGGGAGUAGUUGUUCAGAUACGAGAGGUCGAGGGAGAUGAUGAUGGGGAAGGCGAACCAUUUGCUACGCUGCAAAUUGGGGAUCGCACAGUGAUCAGAGGGAUGAAGUUUUUGGAUCGAAUGGCUGAUUUGGGCCCCAGAAGCAUUCAUGUCACUGCGAUACUUGCUGCUGGUUCCACCACGUUGAUCUUUCCAGCGCAGUAUUUCGCUGCCUACGGACGGGUCGUCUUUCGGCUUCACGACCAACAACUGGUGGUUGAGCCCGAAGAGAUGUCCGGAAUCCGCCGCAUGAGGCCGGUUAGGUUCUUAGCAUGUGUUUGAGCAAAUCAUCAAAACGGCCGGCGCGGAUCAUGAGCAAUAUUCAUCGGGGGUGAUGACAUUGACUAUGCUGUUUUUCGGGGUGUAAUGUUUUAUGAAAGCACUUCGAACGAAGAUCUUCUGGUUGAAUUAAGCCGGUUUGUCACAAGGACUUCAUAUGAUUUCUGAGAAGAUCUUAUGUUGAGUUGUGUAAUUUUAAUUACUCUAAGAAGAGCAUUGGUGAAUUAAUUGUCAUUUUUAAUGACAAAAGCAAGUUAAUGAUGUCAAACCUUUUUAUGCUACUUGUUUCUGGUUGCUCAAAAUUUUCAUGCAUUGAAAUCAUGACAUUCGUUUUCAGGUCA